rnacentral:rRNA from 1 species
UACAGAGGGGGCAUGCGUUAUUCGGAAUUAUUGGGCGUAAAGGGCGCGUAGGCGGCCUUGCAAGUGACGGGUGAAAUCCCUCGGCUUAACCGAGGAACUGCCUGUCAAACUGCAUGGCUUGAGACCGGGAGAGGUGAGUGGAAUUCCCAGUGUAGCGGUGAAAUGCGUAGAUAUUGGGAGGAACACCAGUGGCGAAGGCGGCUCACUGGACCGGUACUGACGCUGAGGCGCGAAAGCGUGGGUAGCAAACAGG